ACCUUUUUAGUAUAUUAUAGUACAUCUGCCUUCCAAGCAGAAAGAUUAGUAAAAUUUAAAAAAGGUA
rnacentral:tRNA from 1 species